UAGAGUUUGAUCAUGGCUCAGGACUAACGCUGGCGGCGUGCCUAACACAUGCAAGUCGAGCGGGCAGCAGCAAUGUUGUCAGCGGCGGACGGGUGAGUAACGCGUGAGUAAUCUGCCCUGCACAACGGGAUACCGUCCAGAAAUGGACGUUAAUACCGUAUAAGACCACUUUACGGCAUCGUAAGGGGUAAAAGGGUUACCGGUGCAGGAUGAGCUCGCGUUUCAUUAGCUAGUUGGCGGUGUAAAAGACCACCAAGGCGACGAUGGAUAGCCGGCCUGAGAGGGCGAACGGCCACACUGGAACUGAGAAACGGUCCAGACUCCUACGGGAGGCAGCAGUGGGGAAUAUUGGUCAAUGGGCGAAAGCCUGAACCAGCAACGCCGCGUGAAUGAAGAAGGUUUUCGGAUUGUAAAGUUCUGUCGCAGGGGACGAAGAAUGACGGUACCCUGUAAGAAAGCCACGGCAAACUACGUGCCAGCAGCCGCGGUAAUACGUAGGUGGCAAGCGUUGUCCGGAAAUGACUGGG
rnacentral:rRNA from 1 species